rnacentral:rRNA from 1 species
UACGGAGGGUGCGAGCGUUGUCCGGAAUCAUUGGGCGUAAAGAGCGUGUAGGCGGCCAUACAGGUCAGCUGUGAAAACUCGAGGCUCAACCUCGAGACGUCGGUUGAAACCGUGUGGCUAGAGUCCGGAAGAGGAGAGUGGAAUUCCCGGUGUAGCGGUGAAAUGCGCAGAUAUCGGGAAGAACACCCGUGGCGAAGGCGGCUACUCUCGGGAGCGGUACUGGACGCUGAGGUGCGAAAGCGUGGGGAAG